UACGGAGGAUGCAAGCGUUAUCCGGAAUUAUUGGGCGUAAAGCGUCCGUAGGGGGUUGAGUAAGUCUGCUGUUAAAGCGUGUAGCUCAACUCCAUAUCGGCAGUGGAAACUACUUGACUUGAGUGCGGUAGGGGUCAGGGGAAUUCCCAGUGUAGCGGUGAAAUGCGUAGAUAUUGGGAAGAACACUGGUGGCGAAAUCGCCUGACUGGGCCUGCACAGACACUGAGGGUCGAAAGCUAGGGGAGCGAAAGGG
rnacentral:rRNA from 1 species